AACGAACGCUGGCGGCAUGCCUAACACAUGCAAGUCGAGCGGACCCUUCGGGGUUUUCGUCGUACGGGUUUGUAACGCGUGGGAAUAUUCCCUUCUCUACGGAAUAGUUCUGGGAAACUGGUGGUAAUACCGUAUACGCCCUUUGGGCGAAGGAUUUAUCGAGGAAGGAUUAUCCCUCGUUGGAUUAGGUUGUUGGUUCGGUAAUGGCCUACUACGCCGCCAAUCCAUAGCUGGGUAGAGAGGAUGCUCAGCCACACUGGGACUGAGACACGGCCCAGACUCCUACGGGAGGCAGCAGUGGGGAAUCUUAGAAAAUGGGGGCAACCCUGAACUAGCCAUGACGCGUGAGUGAUGAAGGCAUUAGGGUUGUAAAGCUCUUUCAGCUGGGAAGAUAAUGACGGUACCAGAAGAAGAAGCCCCGGCUAACUCCGUG
rnacentral:rRNA from 1 species